AUGCCCCUAGACUUCACCAAGCACUUCGUCGCGGUGCCGACGGAGUUCAAGCUCAAGAACAACACCGGCUGCUCCUGGAAGGUGACGGUCAAGCUGAUGAACGGUAGGGUGACCCUGGAUCAGGGUUGGGCCACCUACGCGGCCGUUCAUCAGAUCAAGAUUGGCUACAUGGUGACGUUCAAGCUCCUCACUCCCGACACCCUCAAGGUCAUCAUCUUCGACGACGAUGGCAUUGAGGUCGUCAACAAGUGCGGGAAGCACGACGAAGCCUUCGCCGCCAAGGAGUAG
rnacentral:rRNA from 1 species